rnacentral:rRNA from 1 species
GGAGGAAGGUGGGGAUGACGUCAAGUCAUCAUGGCCCUUACGAGUAGGGCUACACACGUGCUACAAUGGCAUAUACAAAGAGAAGCGACCUCGCGAGAGCAAGCGGACCUCAUAAAGUAUGUCGUAGUCCGGAUUGGAGUCUGCAACUCGACUCCAUGAAGUCGGAAUCGCUAGUAAUCGUGGAUCAGAAUGCCACGGUGAAUACGUUCCCGGGCCUUGUACACACCGCCCGUCACACCAUGGGAGUGGGUUGCAAAAGAAGUAGGUAGCUUAACCUUCGGGAGGGCGCUUACCACUUUGUGAUUCAUGACUGGGGUGAAGUCGUAACAAGGUAACCGUAGGGGAACCUGCGGUUGGAUCACCUCCUUACCU